rnacentral:rRNA from 1 species
GUAGUCAUAUGCUUGUCUCAAAGAUUAAGCCAUGCAUGUCUAAGUACAUACUGUUUAUAAAGUGAAACCGCGAAUGGCUCAUUAAACCAGUUACGGUUCCUCGGAUAUUCUUUUUUACAUGGAUAACUGUGGUAAUUCUAGAGCUAAUACAUGAACAAGUGUUCCAACCUCAGCUUGCUGACGGAAGGAUCGCAUUUAUUAGUACAAGACCAAUGAUUCUUAUUCACCUAGAACCCUGUUCAGCGGUUUCGGUCGCUGUCUAAGGACUAGCAGUGGGGAUCUUAGCAACUUCGGUUGCAUUUCUUGUGAUGACUCUGAAUAACUGAGCAAAUCGUAUGGCCUCUGAGCCGACGAUGUAUCCCUCAAGCAACUGCCUUAUCAACUGUCGAUGGUAGGUUAUGCGCCUACCAUGGUUGCAACGGGUAACGGGGAAU